GAGACCGCAGGAUUAGGGGGAAAAAUCUGGUCUCCCUAAUAUUUUAGCAUCGUGCAGGUGCCAACUCACUGUACUUUCAAGGAUAAAUCUUAUGUAGUAGUAUCUUUAGAUUGUACUUUCAUAGAAUGCGUUAUCAGGAGUAGGCGCUUUCAGGUUUUAAGGACAGAAAAUAAAUUUUAAUUAUAGACUUUGUAUAUUGAAAAAUAAAGUAAACCUGCCUUAGGGAGACCAUCAAAAAUCGUUGUGAAAAAUCAAAAAUCGACUAUAUAUUUUAUUUUCGGUUUUUAAACAUUGUUUCUAUGACUAAUAGGCACAUAUCUGGACACUUGCUUUAUUUAAAAUUUUAUUAUUUAAAAACUUUAAAUUUUGUUGUUCGAUGAGAUUUUCAUUUUCACGAUUCCGAAAUUAACGCUCGGGCUCGGAGUUUUGUGUUCCGUAUCCAGUCACAUUGAGCGGAAAAUGGCGAAUUUAUCUUACGGGAAGCGCAUGGUAAGUUUACAAGGAUAAACAAAUCAACUAUUAUUUUUUUAUAGUGCAGAUUAAAACACAGCCAUAUUUCUGUCGGCUUUAAUAAGUAUCAAUGCGUUCAAUGAUUAGCUUUUCAAAAAAGCUUGCUGUCUUUUAGCCAAAUUUUAAAUAUGCAACCCAAAGCAACUCUUCAAGAGCAGUAAUAAUUAUAGAAUGUUUUCAUUAUGCAUAACUCCACGGUUUUUUGUUUUUGUUUUUUUGUUUUUUUGUUGUUUUGUACGUUUCACCAAAUCCAGAAAUCUCAAGUUUAUAGCUAGCACAGCAAGCGUUUAUGGUAACGCGAGAAAAUUCGGGAUGAGUUAAAAGCUGGACUUGAAAGUCAAGGCAUUUUGCAAAAGAAAGUAAAACGCCUGAAGCCUGAGGAAGAUGCCAAAUGGUGGUGUCAGGCUGGUCUUGACAAAGAUGGGUUCAAAGUAAAAUAUAUAUCUGACUAUAAAGGAUUUGGUGUAUUUGCCGAAAAAGA